rnacentral:rRNA from 1 species
CUGCGGAGGGAUCAUUACUGAAUGGCCCUUUGGGCCUUCAACCUUCAAAAACAUGUGGAAGCAAGAUGUGCUUCGGUGCCUCUGGUGCCGCCUUUAUGCAGUGAAGCCUUAUUUGUCUGAACCAAAAUCAAAAAGUUAAAACUUUCAACAAAGGAUCUCUUGGCUCUCACAUCGAUGAAGAACGCAGCGAAGCGCGAAAUGUAGUGUGAAUCGCAGAACUUAGUGAAUCAUCGAAUCUUUGAACGCACAUUGCGCCUCCCAUCAUCGGGAGGCAUGCCUGUCUGAGCGUCAUUUAAACCAUAGCUCCCAUCUGGGACUGUACUGGGCAUCGCCGACGGCGUAGCCUCAAAGACAUUGGUCUAAUCAAGCGGACGAGUUCCUUUAGGACGGACCGUUGGGUUGACCUUAAACCUCUGACUUGACCUCAGAUCAGGUAGGGCUACCGCCUGAACUUAAGCAUAUCAAUAAGCGGAG